UUGAAUCCCUUAAGGAUCCCUCCCCAGCCAUGCUCUGACACUGGGGAAGCUAUUCACUGACAGACAGCACAGCACUGCAAAGAAGCAGUGCCCAAAGGAAACAAAAUGAACUUACCGAUGCACAUACAUCGUGAAUGGGAGGAAGGGAGCUUUCCGAUGUCAGCCACUGAACAGGACGUUCCAAUCAACUCUAUGACAUCCCUACAGCUUCCAGGUGGCUUGAUCACAGGUUCGUAGCAUCAGGCCGAGCCUCCCCUUGCAUCUUCCAGCACUUAUGGACCAGGGACCCCUUGGCUUGUGAUAGAUGAAAUCUCAAGACAGAAUCAUAUUUGACCUGGUAUGACAAGAUGCUGUACCUGUUUAAGAGAUCAUCCUUACUGGAGAGAAAUAUCCUGUGUUACACUGUGACAACAGAAAGACUGUCCUUGCGGCAAAAUCCUGUCUUUGGAGGCUCGAUCUUGUGAAGAGUCAGAUUCAUUUAAAGAAAAAAUGCCUAUAUGUUAUAUGUAUUUUUAAGUAAGUUUAUAAAAUAAAUUUUCCUUUGGGUGUUUGUAAAUCCUA